rnacentral:rRNA from 1 species
AGUGAACGCUGGCGGCAGGCCUAAUACAUGCAAGUCGAACGGCAGCACAGCAGAGCUUGCUCUGUGGGUGGCGAGUGGCGGACGGGUGAGGAAUACAUGGGAAUCUGCCCAGUCGUGGGGGAUAACGUAGGGAAACUUACGCUAAUACCGCAUGCGCCCUUCGGGGGAAAGCCGGGGGACCUUCGGGCCUGGCGCGAUUGGAUGAGCCCAUGUCGGAUUAGCUAGUUGGCGGGGUAAUGGCCCACCAAGGCGACGAUCCGUAGCUGGUCUGAGAGGAUGAUCAGCCACACUGGAACUGAGACACGGUCCAGACUCCUACGGGAGGCAGCAGUAGGGAAUAUUGGACAAUGGGCGCAAGCCUGAUCCAGCCAUGCCGCGUGAGUGAAGAAGGCCCUCGGGUUGUAAACCUCUGUCUGGGGGGACGAGUAAGGACGGUACCCCCGGAGGAAGCCCCGGCUAACUACGUG